AACUCCAGCACCGUUUCACCUUGUACCCAUGAGAGAUUGUAUCUUAUUACAAUUUUCUGGCAGAUGACAGUUGAGUGUCAACAGAGGGGCUCAGCAGGGUUGGUGCUGCCUCCCUUUCCAGACAGAUGUCAAAUCCCUCUCUUCUCAGCACAUCAAGCCCUGCUCCCCCUUUGCCACAAGAGUCCUAGAAGCCAGACACUAAGGGCUCAGGGUCCGCAGUCCCCCAGGCAGAAUUAGCCUCAUCUCAUCCCCACACCUUGGUGACAUCAUGUGCUGACUCAGUCUUCCCAGUGCCUCAUGUUGGAACCUCUGUCAGGGAUGGAGAGACAUCUAAGGACCCCCAACCCCAGGCCACUGUGCAGAGGGGUAAGGAGGUGCAGAGAAGGGGUCUCAGGAAGCUUUAGAGCCAGCUUUAGGAUCUGUCUUUCAGGGUGCUAGUAUUUAAGAGUGUAAAAAAAAAAUCCAAAACACUGGAUAUAAAGGCCUGGCACGGUGGCUCACGCCUAUAAUCCCAGCACUUUGGGAGGCUGAGGCAGGCGGAUCGCUUGAGGCCAGGAGUUCGAGACCAGCCUGGCCAACAUGGUGAAACCCUGUCUCUACUAAAAAUACAAAAAUUAGCCAGGUGUGGUGGUACGUGCCUGUAGUCCCAGCUACUCAGGAGGCUGAGGCAGGAGAACUGCUUGAACCUUGGAGGUGGAGGUUGUAGUGACCCGAGAUUGCACCACUGCACUCCAGCCUGGGCA
rnacentral:lncRNA from 10 species